AGGAAGCAUUUAUGAAUUUUCUGAAUCAAGGCCUAUAGUGACUGUUUAGGGUUUCAUUAGGUUAGGUUAGGUUAAGUUUAGGAUAUCUUCAAACACAUGAUAGAUAGGAACUUAUGGUAUAAAUCAACAAAGAAUGACUUCACUUUGUUCUAUAGAAAGUCUCAUUAGUAAGGAAGCAUUUAUGAAUUUUCUGAAUCAAGGCCUAUAGUGACUGUUUGGUGUUUUGUAAGGUUAAAUUAUAUUAAGUUUAGGGUAUCUUCAAACACAUGACAGCCAGCACCUUAUGCUAUAAAUCAACAAGGAAUGACCUCACUUUGUUGCAUAGAAAGUCUCAUUAGUAAGGAAGCAUAUAUGAAUUUUCUGAGUCAAGACCUAUAGUAACUGUUUGGGGUUUUGUUAGGUUAGGUUAGGUUUAGGGUAUCUUCAAACACAUGAUAGCCAGCACCUCAUGGUAUAAAUCAACAAAGACUGACCUCACUGUGUUGUAUAGAAAGUCUCAUUAGUAAGGAAGCAUAUAUAAAUUUUCUGAGUCAAGACCUAUAGUAACUGUUUGGUGUUUUGUUAGGUUAGGUUAGGUUAGGUUUAGGGUAUCUUCAAACACAUGAUAGCCAGCACCUCAUGGUAUAAAUCAACAAAGACUGACCUCACUGUGUUGUAUAGAAAGUCUCAUUAGUAAGGAAGCAUAUAUAAAUUUUCUGAGUCAAGACCUAUAGUAACUGUUUGGGGUUUUGUUAGGUUAGGUUAGGUUAGGUUUAGGGUAUCUUCAAACACAUGAUAGCCAGCACCUCAUGGUAUAAAUCAACAAAGACUGACCUCACUUUGUUGUAUAGAAAGUCUCAUUAGUAAGGAAGCAUAUAUGAAUUUUCUGAGUCAAGACCUAUAGUAACUGUUUGGGGUUUUGUUAGGUUAGGUUAGGUUAGGUUUAGGGUAUCUUCAAACACAUGAUAGCCAGCACCUCAUGGUAUAAAUCAACAAAGACUGACCUCACUUUGUUGUAUAGAAAGUCUCAUUAGUAAGGAAGCAUAUAUGAAUUUUCUGAGUCAAGACCUAUAGUAACUGUUUGGGGUUUUGUUAGGUUAGGUUAGGUUAGGUUUAGGGUAUCUUCAAACACAUGAUAGCCAGCACCUCAUGGUAUAAAUCAACAAAGAAUGACCUCACUUUGUUGCAUAGAAAGUCUCAUUAGUAAGGAAGCAUAUAUAAAUUUUCUGAGUCAAGACCUAUAGUAACUGUUUGGUGUUUUGUUAGGUUAGGUUUAGGGUAUCUUCAAACACAUGAUAGCCAGCACCUCAUGGUAUAAAUCAACAAAGACUGACCUCACUUUGUUGUAUAGAAAGUCUCAUUAGUAAGGAAGCAUAUAUGAAUUUUCUGAGUCAAGACCUAUAGUAACUGUUUGGGGUUUUGUUAGGUUAGGUUAGGUUUAGGGUAUCUUCAAACACAUGAUAGCCAGCACCUCAUGGUAUAAAUCAACAAAGACUGACCUCACUGUGUUGUAUAGAAAGUCUCAUUAGUAAGGAAGCAUAUAUGAAUUUUCUGAGUCAAGACCUAUAGUAACUGUUUGAGGUUUUGUUAGGUUAGGUUUAGGGUAUCUUCAAACACAUGAUAGCCAGCACCUCAUGGUAUAAAUCAACAAAGACUGACCUCACUGUGUUGUAUAGAAAGUCUCAUUAGUAAGGAAGCAUAUAUGAAUUUUCUGA